UACGAAGGGGGCUAGCGUUGUUCGGAAUUACUGGGCGUAAAGGGCGCGUAGGCGGCCCUCUUAGUCGGACGUGAAAUCCCCAGGCUUAACUUGGGAACUGCGUCCGAUACUGGAGGGCUUGAGUGCGGGAGAGGGAUGUGGAAUUCCAGGUGUAGCGGUGAAAUGCGUAGAUAUCUGGAGGAACACCGGUGGCGAAGGCGGCAUCCUGGACCGACACUGACGCUGAUGCGCGAAAGCUAGGGGAGCAAACGGG
rnacentral:rRNA from 1 species